GCUUUAAAGUACUCUAGCAGCACAUCAUGAUUUGUAUGUCAUAGUAAAUAUGCAAGUCAUUAUUUGCUGCUUUAGAAUUUUAAAGA
rnacentral:pre_miRNA from 11 species